rnacentral:rRNA from 1 species
UACGUAGGGUGCAAGCGUUAAUCGGAAUUACUGGGCGUAAAGCGUGCGCAGGCGGUGAUGUAAGACAGAUGUGAAAUCCCCGGGCUCAACCUGGGAACUGCAUUUGUGACUGCAUCGCUGGAGUACGGCAGAGGGGAUGGAAUUCCGCGUGUAGCAGUGAAAUGCGUAGAUAUGCGGAGGAACACCGAUGGCGAAGGCAAUCCCCUGGGCCUGUACUGACGCUCAUGCACGAAAGCGUGGGGAGCAAACAGG